rnacentral:lncRNA from 1 species
AAAUCUGGGCAGUGUAAUAUUUUUUUGUUUUCACUUGUUAAAUGUUCAUUUUUCUUCAUAACUUCAAAUAUCCAUAACUUCAUGAUCCCUUAACAUUUUUGACCCAUUCUUUUUGCCAUGUGUUCAUGAGAAUGUCUAUUUUAUGAUUUUUUUGUUUUCACUUGUUAAAUGUUCAUUUUUCUUCAUAACUUCAAAUAUCCAUAACUUCAUGAUCCCUUAACAUUUUUGACCCAUUCUUUUUGCCAUGUGUUCAUGAGAAUGUCUAUUUUAUGAU